rnacentral:rRNA from 1 species
UACGUAGGGCGCAAGCGUUGUCCGGAAUUAUUGGGCGUAAAGAGCUCGUAGGCGGCCUGUCGCGUCUGCUGUGAAAUCCCGGGGCUUAACCCCGGGCGUGCAGUGGAUACGGGCUGGCUGGAGGCAGGCAGGGGAGAACGGAAUUCCCGGUGUAGCGGUGAAAUGCGCAGAUAUCGGGAGGAACACCGGUGGCGAAGGCGGUUCUCUGGGCCUGUACUGACGCUGAGGAGCGAAAGCGUGGGGAGCGAAUGGG